AUUGAACGCUGGCGGCAUGCCUUACACAUGCAAGUCGAACGGCAGCACGGGCGCUUGCACCUGGUGGCGAGUGGCGAACGGGUGAGUAAUACAUCGGAACGUACCUUAUCGUGGGGGAUAACGCAGCGAAAGCUGUGCUAAUACCGCAUACGCCCUGAGGGGGAACGCGGGGGAUCGAAAGACCUCGCGCCAUUAGAGCGGCCGAUGCCUGAUUAGCUUGUUGGUGGGGUAAAAGCCCACCAAGGCGACGAUCAGUAGCUGGUCUGAGAGGACGAUCAGCCACACUGGGACUGAGACACGGCCCAGACUCCUACGGGAGGCAGCAGUGGGGAAUUUUGGACAAUGGGGGCAACCCUGAUCCAGCAAUGCCGCGUGAGUGAAGAAGGCCUUCGGGUUGUAAAGCUCUUUUGUCAGGGAAGAAACACCGGCUCUAACACAGUCCGGGAAUGACGGUACCUGAAGAAUAAGCACCGGCUAACUACGUGCCAGCCGCCGCGGUAA
rnacentral:rRNA from 1 species